AACACCCGGUUGCUACCCUAUACACCUGGGCCUUCCAUCGAGUCCCCCGCCCACACAACUUGGUACUUAUUCCCGCUUCUUCUCCCCUCCAAAAGCAAAAUCAGUGCAGGGUUGCUUGAUAAUUUGGGUAUCCCAUGAGUCAUCAUUGAGCACUCUGAAAGGAGAGCUAUAUUUUAUGAAAGAAAUGUUGCAGGCAAAAUUAAAAUCAAUGGAGGCACAACUCAGUGAAGCCCUUUAGUCCAGUGGGAACAAGUACAAAAACAACUCAGACUCAACGGAAGGCAUAUAGGCUGCAGCUGUAACCAAGAAGCUUGAAGAAGAACUCCUGAAAUGAGAUGCCCUUGUUGAGUAUCCCAAUGCCUGUUUUUGAGCGGAACACCUAAAAUGGAGUAUGUGAGAGAGGAAGGAGAGGGAAGGGGGCGUUUAUGAGGCUGUGAGAGGGGCAAUCUGGUAAACUAUCCAAGUGGAGGCGAUUUUGAGACCCUCCAUUUGUGGAUGCUAUUAGUGUAUAGACCGCAGUAAGACGUUUCUUGUUGCAGCUGACAUGGAACCGUCAAAGAUGGAUAUCUAUAAGGCUCGAGCUGAAGUGGCUUCUACCAAAGGAACUGAUGUAAAUAUGCAGGAUGCUCCUGUGACUCAGAAUGGUACUCAAGAGAGAGGAGAUUAUCCUGCUUAGAUGGAAGCAGAUGCCAAGGUUAGUAGUAACACAUGUAUUGCUACCUUUUGUCUGUAUAUCUGUUUCAUCAACCGCAAACAUUUAAUAUUGCAAAAAUUUGUUGAUUACAAUUCGUUUUCCAUUUAUAACCCUCAAAAUGCUUUGGUAUCUACAAGCAAGAUGUGUUGCAGGGCACUCAACUUCUAGCCAUAGAUGUUGCUGCAGUACAAGAUUUCUAAGCUCUUAGAAGAACUUUGAACCGAUUUGGCAUUAGCAAUUGCAAUCGCCUUUCUCCUGCUGCCACCUGUGGUAUACGUGCCACCAUUUCCACGUGCCAGAAAAUGGUCGAGUGUAGAUGGAGAGGAUGACAUUUUAGAAAUCGAUUUGCUAGGACCAAGUCUUGAUUACCUCUUUGUCUAUUGACUUGUGUGGAGGAAAAUUCAAGGGCAGGUGCAACGGGUUUGGUUCUGAAGUAUAUGUUAGUGCUGUCUAGCAGAUCAACACAAGUAGAAACUUUAGAUAAGUUCUGAAAUCACGACGUGGUGGUUGCAAACAGAACACUAGAAGCAGCCCUCAAGGAUACCGAUUUGUUUGGAGUAAUAUGUGUCGAAGAGAUCAAGCUGAUAUGAGGUGUGAUCUCACUUUCCUCCAACAUCAGAUGCCAGUUCGGGUUUAUAUAUGAAGUGUCUUAGAUUAUGCUUUAUUGUAUCUGAAAUGGAUUAGUGUUUC